rnacentral:misc_RNA from 1 species
GGGCAUACGGUGCUCGCAGGGUCCCCCUUCCCAAAGCAGCCGAACGCAGGCACGGCGCCGUCUCGUUUUGUCCCUCGCGUACGCCGGGAGGGCUCCGUGGGUUGGAUCUGUUCUUUGAUAGCUAGAAUGCGGCAAGCUCGUGACCUGAAGACAAGAACGGCAUCGGCUCUCCAUUCCCCUUGUGGGCGGUGGAGAGGCGACUGGUUCCUCAAGCGUCCCACAGCAGGCCUUGCAGCGGGCUGACCGGGCCCCGGUGUGUCUGCGUGCUGCUCAGAUGCAGAGGACUGGAUGUCAACGUUGGGGCCUACUUUGCAGGGGUUGCCCCGUCACCAAGACAGAAGCGGCCGGCGGUUGAAGCUGGGGGACAUGGCAUGGUUCAGCCUUGCGCUAGCGGCACCAGCGCAAGCAGCCGUCAGCCGAGUCUGCCAGCAUGGGAUCUCGGGACGACAGCCGGCGUCGGGUGCUGCUCGUUGGUGCCGCGAGGCGCAGGUUGGGACAGCGGGGGCGUAGGCGGAAGAACGUUACCUGGUUGAUC